rnacentral:rRNA from 1 species
UACAGAGACCCCGAGCGUUGACCGGAUUUAUUGGGCGCAAAGCGUGCGUAGGUGGUUUCGUAAGUCAUUUGUUAAAUCUUCAGGCUCAACCUGGAGGCUGCGGGUGAUACUGCGAGACUCGAGUUCGGGAGAGGUAGCCGGAAUGCCUGGUGUAGGGGUAAAAUCCGUUAAUAUCAGGUAGAACACCAAAUGCGAAAGCAAACUACUGGAACGACACUGACACUGUUGCACGAAAGCGUGGGUAGCGAAUGGG